rnacentral:siRNA from 1 species
UCAAGAUGUUCAGCCAUGCUCU